rnacentral:miRNA from 1 species
UUGAGGAGGGUCAAGAAUAUGUUC